UCCGUGCCUCCGAGCGCCGUUCCUACCCCCGAGCGGCGGCCCUUCGCCGAUGCGCUGCCGCCGCCGUCAUGGUGUGCCACCGGCGAGCGCUGUCGCCGGCGUCGAGGGCCGCCACGCGCCGUUGCCGAGCGCGCCGCCUCUUCUUCCUCUUGAUUCUUGCGCCUUCUCGCCCCCAUGUGCGCUGGCUGAUGCCGGCCGCUGCCGUGUGCCUCUGCGCCGCCGCCGCUGCCGGGGACGUCGCCCAGCGCCCCCUUCUCCUCUUCUUCGGUUCCGCCCCUCCCCCUCGUGCGCCGGCCAUGGCCGAUUCAAUGGUCGGAGGGGAGCUCCAAUCCAUGUGCGCGCCGUGGCCGAGGGCCGUCGGCCCGAUGCGCCGCCGCGGCCGGUGUGCGACGCCGGUGCGCCUUGCCGGCGCCGUCGACGUCCCUUUGCGCCGAGCCCGGCCUUCGGUGGCACUCCCUGCGAGGCCGCCCCGCGACGGAGGACGCAGGCAGGUGAAGAGGGGCGUCGUUCGUGCCGCCGGUGGUGCGUGGUUCAGUGGUUGUGCCAGGCUUCCUCAUCGGUUCAGUGGUUGUGCCAGGCUCCUCAUCGACGGUGAGGACUCAGAUGGCUAGGCAUCCAGCGCCCCUGACUACCGGUGAAGCGGCGGCCGCGACCACCGCGGAAACGGCGUCCAUGGCGAUGAUGGCGUCCUGUGAGACGCCGGCCAUGCAGGGUGAAGAUGCAGCGUCCUCUCUUCUGGAAGUGAUGACGGCGACGUCCAGUGCACAGGCGGCGAGAGGAAGGAUGCAAAGAGACGCGGUCAGGAGAGGCAUACAUCUAUCUCGAGCCGCUCCUGAGAGUAGUGCUACAUGUCAGACAAUGACAUUGUGCGACAGCAUGCAUGACCACAUGGUGGCGAAUGUUGUUGCAUUGCCUCUAUGAUUUUUGUGUGAUGCGUGAUCAGCCUCGUGUCACACGUCAUUUUGAAUGUUUUCAAAUAUAAACACAUCACAUGUGUUUUUAACAUAAACACAA